UACAUACUCCCUCCGUCCCAAAAUUCUUGUCUUAGAUUAGUCUAGAUACUGAUGUCUCUAAUACUAAAAUGUGACUUGAUACAUCUGAUUUAAACAAAUCUAAGACAAGAAUUUUGGGAUGGAGGGAGUACAAA
rfam:Triticum aestivum genome assembly, contig: Triticum_aestivum_CS42_TGACv1_scaffold_160340_2DL